rnacentral:rRNA from 1 species
UCCAGACUCCUACGGGAGGCAGCAGUGAGGAAUAUUGGUCAAUGGGCGGGAGCCUGAACCAGCCAAGUCGCGUGAGGGACGACGGUCCUAUGGAUUGUAAACCUCUUUUGUCGGGGAACAAAGGCGCCCACGGGUGGGCGGAUGAGUGUACCCGAAGAAAAAGCAUCGGCUAACUCCGUGCCAGCAGCCGCGGUAAUACGGAGGAUGCGAGCGUUAUCCGGAUUUAUUGGGUUUAAAGGGAGCGUAGGCCGGCUUUUAAGUCAGCUGUGAAAGUCCGCGGCUCAACCGUGGAAUUGCAGUUGAAACUGGAGGCCUUGAGUGCACACAGGGAUGCCGGAAUUCAUGGUGUAGCGGUGAAAUGCUUAGAUAUCAUGAAGAACUCCGAUCGCGAAGGCAAGUGUCCGGGGUGCAACUGACGCUGAGGCUCGAAAGCGUGGGUAUCGAACAGGAUUAGAUACCCCUGUAU